GUGGAUUAGAUACCCUGGUAGUCCACGCCCUAAACGAUGUCUACUAGUUGUCGGGUCUUAAUUGACUUGGUAACGCAGCUAACGCGUGAAGUAGACCGCCUGGGGAGUACGGUCGCAAGAUUAAAACUCAAAGGAAUUGACGGGGACCCGCACAAGCGGUGGAUGAUGUGGAUUAAUUCGAUGCAACGCGAAAAACCUUACCUACCCUUGACAUGGCAGGAAUCCUGAAGAGAUUUGGGAGUGCUCGAAAGAGAACCUGCACACAGGUGCUGCACGGCCGUCGCCAACU
rnacentral:rRNA from 1 species